CUAUCUAAUCUAGUCCAGGUUUCUAAGUUUUGACGAGAAGAACUGUGUCUCUUAUCACAUAAUUGUAUUAUUUUUAUAUUAAGUUAUAUUUGGCGUUGGUCAGACAUCAUCAAGAUUAUGCUGUGUACUUCUGAGGACCAUAAUCUCUCACAGGAAGGGUGUAGGUCUAUUAGAAUCUGUACAAAGGAGAAUGACUGAAAGGAUACAGGGAGAAAGGAGCUAAUAUUCCUGACGAAAGGAGACUGAAGCUUUUGAAAAUUACAUUCCUUAGAGAGGCUUAAGUUAAGAGGGGACUCGAUAGAAGUCUGUGAGUGGUAUAAAGGUUUUAACAAGCAAAAUUCUCAGGAUCAGUAAUCAUGAUAGAACAAUAAUGGGUUAAAGUUUGGAAAAAAAAAAGUUAGAUUAAGGAGAGAGAGAAAAAAAAAAAGGAAGGAAUUGAUUCUCAAAUAGAGUGGUAGAUGAAUAGAAUGGCCUCAGUGGUUGUUAAUGAGGAUUCUUUAGGAAGUGUUAAAAGAAGAUUAGAUAAAUUUAUGGAUGCGGAAGAUAGGUGGAAAUAGGUAGGUAUAUAUGUUUAAUACAGGGGCUGCCACGUGUAGGCCUGAUGGCUUCUUGCAAUUUCCACUUGUGUUCUUAUGUUCUCCUUUGGAAUAAUCACGCUUAGAAUAAUCAUGCAUGCCGGGAAUUAGAAGACCCGUAUUACACAAGCACUAAUACCUAUUCUGAAACGAUUAAUUUACGUCGGGAGUGUUAUACAGAACCACUCCUUUUAUUUUGGAAGAAAAAUAAUGUUCCAGCAUUAACAAAGACGCAAGUAAUUUGAGGACAAAUCCUAGAAUAAUACAACAGCGCCAGUUCUGAAGACAGGCUUACUAAAAUCUACAAAGUUUAGAGAACAUGCUACUGAAACGCACAAAUUGUUUUCAGUGGGAGAAAAUUUGUUCCAAGGAGGAAUGAACAGAGGUGUUGAGAUAGGAGACGUGGUGCCGGGACCGGAAGUUUAAAUGUCAGAUGAAUUAUUGCUUAGUGACCUAGAGCUAAGGAAGAUGGGGUCUCCUUGGCCUGAGCUGAGAUAUUCACGUAAGCCACCAGCCAACCGCACGGUUAAAUGUUUCACCAUAUUGCUUCAUUAUACUGGAAAUUUAUGUUCCUGAUAAAUAUAGAGCACAUCUUUUUUUCAUGUGCAGGAAAAGUAUUAUUCGCUUAAAGCAAGAAUGAGCUUAAAGAGUAGCCAACCUGUUGAAGGAGCUUCCCCGACUUGCAAUACAAGGUUCCUAUGAAGUGCUUAUUAAUUAUCUCUUACUUUGAUACUUGAUGAAUGUGCUUUAUAUAUAUUACCUCCAGUGUCAGCUGCUUACUACACGUUACCAACCAUCGACCAGUAUGAUUUAUUAAUGAUCCUUCGUCCCUGCAGCGCCGCGCCACGUCACAUACCUCAUCUCGGCCAUUGCCACCUUGCGAUAUCUGUUGGCAUGCGUUCAGAAUGUGUAAAUAACCAAGCGAAUACACAUGUAAAUAAAACAAUAGUUUUGCAGUGUUGUUAAUGUGUUGCAGUAGCCAGUGAGUUAACCACAUCAAUUAAGUAUUCGUAACCUUCCAAUGAUCAGCCGGUAAGAUGUCAGUUCGGUGUAUGGAAAAGCACACAAGUAUGCUCAUAAAAUUUUCGGAAAUGUUUUUGGUCCGAUAUUUAAUCAAUAAUUGCAUGUGUUUAUUUGUUCAAGUGGGUUAAUUAAGGUGACUAAGAAAUGUUGACAUUCACGCCCUCAGCCUGAUCAUCGUGGCUCAGGCAGCGGGGUCAUGCAGCGCGUCACCCAAUACUUCUUCAGGCCGAGCACAGUAGCGGGAACAAACCAACGGGUGUAGUACGUUUUGUUCUUCUACUUAUAAUCUUCUCAUUUAUUCUACGUUGUGUUCACAUCUGCCUGAUUGUGGGAGAAACACGCCAUUCUUUUUUUUUUUUAUAGCAGAGGAGCAUAUUGCCGGCGUCAUGGUGAACCCCAUCGUGUAUAUGGACGGGGAUCAGAUCAUGCGGAUGGUGCUGAGUGCUGUGCCGUAUUUCCUGCUGUGCAUGGUCUUCUGGGUGUUCAUCCGCCUAGCGUGGAGGUGCUUCACCUACCCCAUGGAACAGAGGAGCAUCAUUCGUAAACAACAGCAAGAGGAAGAGAAGAAAAAAAAGAAAUAAAUGUAAUGCAUUAUAAUUCUUCUUUGAAAGGCAAUAGGUAAAGAGAUAGCUACAGCAGAUUAAUAAUAAUAAUGAUAACAAUAACAUUACUACUACUUACAAUAGAAUAUCUUUAUUUGAAUUAAUUUAAAAAUCAUGAAAUACCUCUUUCCUUUCGUUAUAACACAUAUUAUGAAACAAGUUUGUAUAGUACAAAAUAAACUAACACUGGUCUGGUUGUUCCUGCCAGUUCCUAACUCUCUCUCGCGCUCCCUCUCCUUCUCUCUCUCUCCCCCUCUCUCUCUCUCUCUCUCUGCAAACUUAAUUGUACUAUAUCCCUGAAUCAUCGCUUAUUAAGAGUACACUGGUAGUACAGGGACAACAUUGGCGUCCCCUUUGUGUGGUGGUGAGGCUACCAGCAUUGCAGUAUGCCACAUUGCCAUUGCAUAAAGGAGUGUGGCCUGAGCUUCAACCUCACCAUGUGUUGAGCUUAUCUGGGGAAGGCAGUGGGUCUCUACCCUCUAUUAAAUAAUAUAGGGCCAUUAUGGUUGUCAUAUUGAACAUGGUGACUCACACUCAUAGAAUGAAGCACCUGAGUAGAACCAUUACUAGUUGGCUUUAAAUAUAACCGAGAGGAUAAUGGGAUGCUCUCGUGUUGUACUGUUGUCACAGGUAUGUAGGCAUAUAUGUAUUUUGACACUGUUUAUGUAACAUUUUUGAAUUGCCAGUUUGGGAGUUAAAACUGUAAUAAACAACUUUUGUAA